rnacentral:lncRNA from 1 species
GCCUCACCCUCCGAUGUAGCUAGGACUACAGGACCGCGACCCGGCGCUGCCUAAGAACUGUUUUUAAACGUGAAAGCCACGGCUAUCAUUUGCUUUUUGCUCUGCUCUUCAUCUUCUGGAUAAACCUCGUAACACACUGCUUGUUUUGGGUGGUAGUCUGCUGCCUACGCCCCGUCAGACAAGUGGCCUGAGUCCCCCGCAACCCCUGCAGGUCCGGCCGCCGGCGCCAAGCCUCAAGGCAUCCAAGCCAGGAACGAUCGCGGUCAGCUCUGCCACGGAACAUGUGCAAGACCCGGCAGCAGGUUCCGGGGGAGGCGAAUUGAUUUCACAACGGUCGAGAAGGAGGACCCCGCCCACUUCGUCAUUUCUCGGAAGCCCAGGGACUCGCCGGAAGAGCGGCUCAAAAGCCGGAAAACUGGCAAAUCCGAGUCUCCCGGCGCAUGCGCGGCGCAAUCGGCUUCGCGUGGUUGCAGUAGAGAGGAUCCCUCCGCCAGCCACUGCAUCCGGCGGCCGGAUCUAACUUACCCGCUAGCGUUUUACCCUUGCGCGGCCGUGGCGUAGGGCGGUCUUUUCCCUUGGUCCUCCGCGGCGCCGCCUCUUGUGACGUAAGCCGCAGAAUCCUCUGUCUUAGUUCGGCUCUAUUGCCGCGAGCUUGACUCUUCCUGGGUCUGAGGAAAAGUAAAAGUAAUUUUGUCAUUUCCUGAAACUUCAAGUUAAACCUUUAAGCUGUUCAUUUCCUAAAAGGGUGAAAACGCGGGCACCCCUCGAGCUAGUUCAUCGCCUUUUAACCUGUUGUUGGAUCUUUCCAGAUCACCACACCACAUCACCCAGCCACUCUGCCCAAUGGGAGGGCAGACAGUGUUCCAGUGUAGGAGGAAGGGGUGUAAGGUGCGGGCAGUUUGUGAGGAGGGCACCAACGAGAGCUACUGUGAGAAAGUCUGCAUGGUCAAAAAGUGGAUUACCAAGAACAAAGCAUCAUAAUGUUGUCCAGUGGACCCCAGGUUGAAAAGUCAGGUUCUGGAAUUGGCUGUCUGGAUUAAAAUACUGGUUCCAUCACUGAGAAGCUGUGUGACCUUGCGAAAAUUACUUAAUCUCUUUGUGUUUCAGUUUUCUGAUCUGUAAAAUGAAGUCAAUAAUGGUGAGAAAAUGAGAAAAAUGCAUGCAAGCUUAGCAUAUUAUUAGAGUGAUAAAUGCUAACAAUUAUAAAUCAUGUCAGGGCCUCUACAUUAUUUUAGCAUUUACUUUCCUCUGACUAUCUGUACAUUACUGGAUAAAAAUAUUUUAUUGAUCACCAGAUAUUAAACUCCUGUGAAUUUCUGUGUGUUGAUGGUGAAGUUGGUGGGAGGAUGGUGAUGAGACUUACUUGAAGACAGGAAUGUAUGUGAGUUGACCAUGUCAGUAAGCUGAGAUACUGUCAAUUUCUGAAGGAUUCCUCUGGCUGAGUCUACACAGUUAAGAAGUAUUAUAUAUUUCUUGAUGUCUUUCCUAAUGUCUAACUGAAAUUCUCUAAUUGUCUCAUGUUUUAUUCCUCAUUUAUGGAGAUGCUGGACAGCAUUAAAAAAUAUUGAAACGUGAAUACUUGAAAACAAUUACUGUAUCAUUUGUCAAUUCUUUUAAAAAAUAUCAAAAACCCAGUUUAUUUGGCCUUUUGUUCUAGACUUCAAUUCUACUUCUUUGGACCCCUUCUCCCUGAGGCUGAUAGGGCAGCUGGCCCCUGUGUGGGUGUUGAUGAAACCCAGACCAGUACAUAGUACUCAGUUGGGCAUAGUACAUUCUAGGCGCUAAGACAGGCAGGUAAGUGGAUCAAGCCUUUACAAGCGGUGACUUCUCUCAGGGAGGAAACAGCCCUAAUCUUCAUUUACCAGGUUCAGAAUGCUUUGGGUAUGGUAUAGUGAUGAAUUUGAUAUCGUUACCAUAUAAUCACAAUCUUGAAACAUCACAUUUUAACAUUCAAGGAAUAUUUGACAUUGCCAUUUAAAAAUAUUAUUCAUUCAUUCAUUCAUUCACUCACUCAACAAAUAUAGCAUGCUAAAAACAUAAAAGAAGUAUGCUAGAUUUUUUCGAAUACACCUUUUGGCUCUAACUGGAUUAUGAAUUUCUUUUAGAGCAGAGACACUGUACCUUAUUCAUAUUUCUAUCCCAAGGGUCAGCCUGUAGAAGACACUCACCUAAUGCAACAAACAUGCAUUGCAUAAAUGAAAAAUUGGAUGCAAGGAAUAUGCUAGCUGUGCAUGACCAAUAAAGCAUUUGUUGCUAUGUCUCAUCUUUAAACUUUGAAUUUAAGCAGAACUUGAAUGCAAAUACUGUCUCCAUGAAAAAUAU